rnacentral:lncRNA from 1 species
AAUUGUUUUUUAGAUUAUCACCCACUCCUCUCUGUUCUUCACAGGAACACACAAAUCCACAAAUAUUUCCUGAGCACUCACUGUGUGUCAGAGUCUGCAUCUGGUACUGGAUAUCCACCCAUGGAAUUCACAGCAUGGUGGCAGAGGCAAGCAUUAACAAGUAAUGAAGAAAAAUUAUGGAGAAGGUUGUAAGAGAAAGUUCAAGGUGUCUUGAGAGAGAAAGCAGGGGGAGAUCUAAUGGAGAUUGGAAGGUGGCAUGUCCAAAAAUGUCAAGCAAUGAAUGCCCCAGAAGGAAUGGCACUGGGGUCUAGCCCAAAGUGAAAGUAAAGUCGCUCAGUCGUGUCCGACUCUUUGCAACCGCAUGGACUGUAGCCUACAACGCUCCUCCAUCCAUGGGAUUUUCCAGGCAAGAGUACCGGAGUGGGUUGCCAUAUGGCAUGUGUUAUUGGUCCUUUGAGCAUAGAAGAGCUGAAAGCCAGGUCUCCACACCUGACUUCCCUUCAGGUAAAAAAGAGAGAGAAAGAGAACCAUGUACACAGCAUGGAAGCUUUUUGUCAACUUCUCAACUGUGGCAAGAUUUUCACCUGCUGCCUUAAAAAAUCCUUGAAAACCAGCCCUGUCCAACAACGCCUUUCUAAUUCAACACUCUUGACAGACUGGAGCAGACCCGUCCCUCUAACCCUCUGAAAUGGCCUGAGAGUCAGAAGACCUUCAGGCACAACUCCUAUCAUCUUGCUACAUCUCUAGUCCCUCUUUUGAAAAUGAGGGCUUGGCUUGACUCAAAAGGACUCAGUCAGUAAGGGAAUCUCAUCUUCCAUUACAUAUUGAAGACUGUGAGAUUUUCAAUUCUAAAUUUGUUGAUUUUUUAAAAUAAUGAUAAAGUGAGCUGGUUACAUGAACUCAGAGCUGAAUGGUGCAUCCAGGAUCAUAAGGACCGAGGCAGGGAGGUUUCUCUGGAACAGUCUCAUGGAGCAUUUGGGAGCUCUGUCUGCUUCUCCGGCUGUGGAGCCUCCAAGUCUGACUCCUCUGACCCUCAAGACUCUGAAAACUAUUAUAAGUGUUCAAUAAACAUCUUAAACUAACGGGACUAGAUUCUGAU